AUUUACUCUUUGUUGAAUGUAGAUUUUAAUAAACUAAAUGAUCAUUAUUUAAAAGUAAAUUAUAAAUCUUUUCUAACGUUUAAUUGUGUGUCAAUUAACGUUAAUAUUACUAUUAUCAACUUUCGCUAAGAAUUAUCAUGGCUAUAAGAAAGUAUAUUAUUUCGAAAAAUUUUAAUGUUUCCUUGACGCUAAUUGGUUCUCAAGUUCGCGCCUGUCUUCUGUUUGCGCCUGUCUUUUGUUCGCGCCUGCGCAGUUUGCAGUUCAUUCCCAACGAAUUUCGAGACAUUAGAUGCGUAUUAGAGUCAGUGUGACAUCAUUCAAGAGAAUCUCCGACCAAUUUCGAUGUCGACCUAUCUCAUUUACAAUCAGCUACGACGUAUCAUCCAUCCUCAAUUUCAAGUAUUUUCGAGCCAUCCGCAAAACUUCUUAAAUACUACCAUUGGCCGUACAUUCUGCGUCUGAUUUGCAACUCCAUUCAAUAUUGUUCGUUGAAAUAUAAUUAUUCUCCGAUGGAUGAUCGAACGAGGUACCUGAAAUUAUUACGAG